GUUACAGUCCCUCUAUAUGAAAAUACUUCCAAUGUCGAAUUGG
rnacentral:sRNA from 1 species